AUGGGUGGAAAUUAUAAGGAAGCAUACCCAAACUCAAAGGCUAAACAAGCAUUCUGCCGGAGUGUGGCAGAGGAUCAGAUCAGGCGAAUGUCCUUUCAAAUACCAAGAUUCCGCACUUCCUCUGAGGCUGCACAGCUGAUUGGGAGGACAAGCUUAGGAGAAAGAAAUACCAAAAGAUAGCAACACCCACCAUCUCCUGAGCCUCCACACUGCCCUUGGGUUAGGAACUUUCAAAAUAAAGUACAUUGCCAUUAAACAUGAAUUUAUCAAGAAUACUGAUUACAGUACCUCAUGGACUAGUUGAAAGCUCAGAAUGCAAAAUAAUAGUUGCCACAAUCACAAGUUGAAUCAAACAUUCCAAUGAGUUGAAUAAAGAUUUUUAUCUUCAUUUUAUGAAUGAAAAAAUUGAAGCUCAAACUGAUUACCUGAGUUCCUCACAAUUAUACAGGCAAAAACUGAACUCAGCUUCUUGUCUUUUGAUUACAAACAGCUUCAAAUGCAAGUUAUUUAUUAUUAA